GUUGUAUAGUCAAGUAAUUAAGUGCAUGUGGUGGAUGCCUUGGCAGUCAGAGGCGAUGAAAGACGUGAUAGCCUGCGAAAAGCUCCGGGGAGGCGGCAAAUAUCCUUUGAUCCGGAGAUGUCUGAAUGGGGGAACCCACCUACUUUAAGGUAGGUAUUGCAACAUGAAUACAUAGUGUUGCAAGGCGAACGAGGGGAAGUGAAACAUCUCAGUACCCUUAGGAAAAGAAAUCAAUUGAGAUUCCCUCAGUAGCGGCGAGCGAACGGGGAUCAGCCCAUUAAGUUAUGUGUGUUUUAGUGGAACGCUCUGGGAAGUGCGAACGUAGAGGGUGAUAUUCCCGUACACGAAAGGGCACACAUAAUGAUGACGAGUAGGGCGAGGCACGUGAAACCUUGUCUGAAUAUGGGGGGACCAUCCUCCAAGGCUAAAUACUCCUGACUGACCGAUAGUGAACCAGUACCGUGAGGGAAAGGCGAAAAGAACCCCUGUGAGGGGAGUGAAAUAGAUCCUGAAACCGCAUGCAUACAAGCAGUGGGAGCACCUUCGUGGUGUGACUGCGUACCUUUUGUAUAAUGGGUCAGCGACUUAUAUUCAGUAGCAAGGUUAACCGUAUAGGGGAGCCGUAGAGAAAUCGAGUCUUAAUAGGGCGUUUAGUUGCUGGGUAUAGACCCGAAACCAGGCGAUCUAUCCAUGAGCAGGUUGAAGGUUGGGUAACACUAACUGGAGGACCGAACCCACUGUCGUUGAAAAGCCAGGGGAUGACUUGUGGAUAGGGGUGAAAGGCUAAUCAAGCCUGGUGAUAGCUGGUUCUCCCCGAAAGCUAUUUAGGUAGCGCCUCGGACGAAUACCAUAGGGGGUAGAGCACUGUUUCGGCUAGGGGGUCAUCCCGACUUACCAAACCGAUGCAAACUCCGAAUACCUAUGAGUACUAUCCGGGAGACAGACUGCGGGUGCUAACGUCCGUAGUCAAGAGGAAAACAAUCCAGACCGCCAGCUAAGGCCCCAAAAUCAUAGUUAAGUGGGAAACGAUGUGGGAAGGCAUAGACAGCUAGGAGGUUGGCUUANGAAGCAGCCACCCUUUAAAGAAAGCGUAAUAGCUCACUAGUCGAGUCGGCCUGCGCGGAAGAUGUAACGGGGCUAAAACUAUGUGCCGAAGCUGCGGAUGUAUACUUUGUAUACGUGGUAGGGGAGCGUUCUGUAAGCCGAUGAAGGUGUGUUGAGAAGCNNNNNNNNNNNNNNNNNNNNNNNNNNNNNNNNNNAUGCUGGAGGUAUCAGAAGUGCGAAUGCUGACGUGAGUAACGACAAAACGGGUGAAAAACCCGUUCGCCGAAAGACCAAGGGUUCCAGUCCAACGUUAAUCGGGGCUGGGUGAGUCGACCCCUAAGGCGAGGCCGAAAGGCGUAGUCGAUGGGAAAAUGGUUAAUAUUCCAUUACUUCUGUGUAAUGCGAUGAGAGGACGGAGAAGGCUAAAUCAGCCUGGCGUUGGUUGUCCAGGUGAAAGGAUGUAGGCAUGUAUCUUAGGCAAAUCCGGGGUACUCUAUGCUGAGAUCUGAUAGCAAGCUGUACUUGUACAGCGAAGUGGUUGAUGCCAUGCUUCCAGGAAAAGUCUCUAAGCUUCAGUUACACAGGAAUCGUACCCGAAACCGACACAGGUGGUCAGGUCGAGUAGACCAAGGCGCUUGAGAGAACUCUGCUGAAGGAACUAGGCAAAAUGGUACCGUAACUUCGGGAGAAGGUACGCUGUUGUUGGUGAUGGAACUCGCUUCCUGAGCUGACGACAGCCGCAGAAACCAGGCCGCUGCAACUGUUUAUUAAAAACAUAGCACUCUGCAAACACGAAAGUGGACGUAUAGGGUGUGAUGCCUGCCCGGUGCUGGAAGGUUAAUUGAUGGGGUUAGCGUAAGCGAAGCUCUUGAUCGAAGCCCCAGUAAACGGCGGCCGUAACUAUAACGGUCCUAAGGUAGCGAAAUUCCUUGUCGGGUAAGUUCCGACCUGCACGAAUGGCAUAAUGAUGGCGGCGCUGUCUCCAGCAGAGGCUCAGUGAAAUCGAAAUCGCUGUGAAGAUGCAGUGUACCCGCGGCUAGACGGAAAGACCCCGUGAACCUUUACUGCAGCUUGACACUGAACUUUGACCUUACUUGUGUAGGAUAGGUGGGAGGCUUUGAAGCUGGAACGCUAGUUCCAGUGGAGCCGUCCUUGAAAUACCACCCUGGUAAUGUUGAGGUUCUAACUCUGUCCCGUGAUCCGGGACGAGGACCGUGUCUGGUGGGUAGUUUGACUGGGGCGGUCUCCUCCUAAAGAGUAACGGAGGAGUACGAAGGUGCGCUCAGCGUGGUCGGAAAUCACGCGUAGAGUAUAAAGGCAAAAGCGCGCUUAACUGCGAGACCCACAAGUCGAGCAGGUACGAAAGUAGGUCUUAGUGAUCCGGUGGUUCUGUAUGGAAGGGCCAUCGCUCAACGGAUAAAAGGUACUCUGGGGAUAACAGGCUGAUACCGCCCAAGAGUUCAUAUCGACGGCGGUGUUUGGCACCUCGAUGUCGGCUCAUCUCAUCCUGGGGCUGAAGCAGGUCCCAAGGGUAUGGCUGUUCGCCAUUUAAAGAGGUACGCGAGCUGGGUUUAGAACGUCGUGAGACAGUUCGGUCCCUAUCUACCGUGGGCGCUGGAAAUUUGAGAGGAUCUGCUCCUAGUACGAGAGGACCAGAGUGGACGAACCUCUGGUGUACCGGUUGUGACGCCAGUCGCAUCGCCGGGUAGCUAUGUUCGGAAGGGAUAACCGCUGAAAGCAUCUAAGCGGGAAGCCUACCUCAAGAUAAGAUUUCCCUAGGACUUUAUGUCCUCUAAAGAGCCGUUCGAGACUAGGACGUUGAUAGGUUGGAUGUGGAAGCAUAGUGAUAUGUGAAGCUGACCAAUACUAAUUGCUCGUGAGGCUUGACUAUACAACACCCAAGCAGUUG
rnacentral:rRNA from 1 species